rnacentral:rRNA from 1 species
AAAGCUCAAAUUUAAAAUCUGGCGGUCUUCUGGCUGUCCGAGUUGUAAUCUAGAGAAGUGUUAUCCGCGCUGGACCGUGUACAAGUCUCCUGGAAUGGAGCAUCAUAGAGGGUGAGAAUCCCGUCUUUGACAUGGACUGCCAGGGCUUUGUGAUGCGCUCUCAAAGAGUCGAGUUGUUUGGGAAUGCAGCUCAAAAUGGGUGGUAAAUUCCAUCUAAAGCUAAAUAUUGGCGAGAGACCGAUAGCGAACAAGUACCGUGAGGGAAAGAUGAAAAGAACUUUGGAAAGAGAGUUAAACAGUACGUGAAAUUGCUGAAAGGGAAACGCUUGAAGUCAGUCGCGUCGUCCAGGGAUCAACCUUGCUUUUGCUUGGUGCACUUUCUGGUUUGACGGGUCAGCAUCAAUUUUGACUGUUGGAAAAAGGCUGAGGGAAUGUGGCAUCUUUGGAUGUGUUAUAGCCCUUGGUCAUAUACAAUGGUUGGGAUUGAGGAACUCAGCAUGCCGCAAGGCCGGGUUUUAAACCACGUACGUGCUUAGGAUGCUGGCAAAUAUGGCUUUAAUCGACCCGUCUUGAAACACGGACCAAGGAGUCUAACAUGCCUGCGAGUGUUUGGGUGGAAAACCCGAGCGCGUAAUGAAAGUGAAAAGUUGAGAUCCCUGUCGUGGGGAGCAUCGACGCCCGGACCAGACCUUUUGUGACGGUUCCGCGGUAGAGCAUGUAUGUUGGGACCCGAAAGAUGGUGAACUAUGCCUGAAUAGGGUGAAUCCAGAGGAAACUCUGGUGGAGGCUCGUAGCGAUUCUGACGUGCAAAUCGAUCGUCAAAUUUGGGUAUAGGGGCGAAAGACUAAUCGAACCAUCUAGUAGCUGGUC